CCUUCGAUAGCUCAGUUGGUAGAGCGGUGGACUGUAGUUGGACUCUCAAUUGGAUAUCCAUAGGUCGUUGGUUCAAAUGCGACUCGAAGGA